rnacentral:hammerhead_ribozyme from 1 species
AUACACCUGACGAGUUCUAAAUAGGACGAAAUGCGCAUCCUAGAU